ACGUAGGGACCAAGCGUUGUCCGGAUUUAUUGGGCGUAAAGAGCUCGUAGGCGGUUCAGCAAGUCGGGUGUGAAAACUCUGGGCUCAACCCAGAGACGCCACCCGAUACUGUUGUGACUAGAGUCCGGUAGGGGAGUGGGGAAUUCCUGGUGUAGCGGUGAAAUGCGCAGAUAUCAGGAGGAACACCGGUGGCGAAGGCGCCACUCUGGGCCGGCACUGACGCUGAGGAGCGAAAGCGUGGGUAGCAAACAGGAUUAGAUACCCUGGUAGUCCACGCCGUAAACGGUGGGCACUAGGUGUGGGUCCUUAUCAACGGGAUCCGUGCCGUCGCUAACGCAUUAAGUGCCCCGCCUGGGGAGUACGGCCGCAAGGCUA
rnacentral:rRNA from 1 species